UCAUUGUUAGGGUUCUCCAGCCUUCUCUGAGUUCUCUCCAUUCAUUUCAAUUUUGAAGCAUUUACGACUCCAGGGAAUUCUCUCUCCCGACCGGAAAACGAAGAUCUACUUAGCUUGCUCGAAUCAAUCUGCAAGUUCAUACCUCAGGACUGUGAAUCUGGAGCGAACUUUGCUUAAAUUUAGUCGGUUUAGUUUAAGUGGGCUUCUGUGUCUCUGAACUUCAUAAUUCGGAUACUAUUUUUUGCAUUUUUUUGCGGGAUUGAAGAAUGUUAGCUUAUCUGCCUGCUGUUCAUUGUCAAAUGGGUAAAAUCUGUAGUUCUCUGUUAUCUCUUUUGUAUGGGGUGGGGUUGGAUCUACUUUAGUUACAGUGACUUUGUAAAAUAGAUUUGUUGUGAAAUUAUGCAGUAAAUUGUAUUGUGGGGUUUUUUUUUAUAUGUUGCUCACCACCUGUUUGAUAAAAUAAGAAACGGUAUAUUUUUCUUGCCUA